rnacentral:tRNA from 2 species
GCCGCUGUAGCUCAGUUGGUAGAGCAAAGGACUGAAAAUCCUUGUGUGGAGGGUUCGAUUCCCUCUGGCGGCA